rnacentral:rRNA from 1 species
GAUGAACGCUGGCGGCGUGCCUAAUACAUGCAAGUCGAGCGAACAGAUGAGGAGCUUGCUCCUCUGACGUUAGCGGCGGACGGGUGAGUAACACGUGGAUAACCUACCUAUAAGACUGGGAUAACUUCGGGAAACCGGAGCUAAUACCGGAUAAUAUAUUGAACCGCAUGGUUCAAUAGUGAAAGACGGUUUUGCUGUCACUUAUAGAUGGAUCCGCGCCGCAUUAGCUAGUUGGUAAGGUAACGGCUUACCAAGGCAACGAUGCGUAGCCGACCUGAGAGGGGGAGGGCCAACGUGGAAACGGAACACGGGCCAAGACCCCACGGGGGGCACGAGGAGGGAAAUGUCCCGAAGGGGGGAAACGCUGAAGGGACAACCGCGGGGGGGGUAAAAAGGGUUUGGGGACGGAAAACCUUUUUUUUGGGAAAAAAAAAAAGGUAAAGGAAAUUAGGCGCGUCUAGGGGGACCAAAAAAAAAAACCCCGGGCAACCUCGG